GACGAACGCUGGCGGCGUGCUUAACACAUGCAAGUCGAACGGGUCUGCCCUGUUUUUUGCGGGGUGGGUCAGUGGCGAACGGGGGAGUAACACGUGAGUAACCUGCCCCUCACUUCUGGAUAACCGAUUGAAAGGGUGGCUAAUAAGGGGUGAUCUGGCUGUGCCGCAUGGUGUGGCUGGGAAAGAUUCACUUUUGUGGUGAUAUGGUGGGGGAUGGGCUUGUGGUCUAUCAGCUGGGUGGGGGGGUGAUGGCCUGCCAAGGCUUUGACGGGUAGCCGGCCUGGGAGGGUGGCCGGUCUGAGAGGGAGUGAGGGACCACCCUGACUCCUGCGGGAGGCAGCGGUGGGGGGUAGUGCGAAGUGGGCGGAAGCCUGAUGCAGGGCGGUCGCGUGAGGAAGAUUGUCCUUCGGGUUGUGAACGUCUUUCGCCAGUAAAGAGUGUCCUGCUGUUUGUGGUGGGGUUUGACGUUACCGUGUUAUGAAGCGCCGGCUAACUACGUG
rnacentral:rRNA from 1 species